ensembl:lncRNA
UUUCUUUGACUGGAUGUAUUUUAUUGUAAAGCUAUAAGGAAGGAGUAAUUACAAGAUAUCUUUUCUUUGAUUUGCUCAGCAAAAAUAAAAGACCACAUUUUUUUUAGAAUUCAAACAUGCGAAUGCUGAUCAAAGGAGAACAGAUGAGGCUCAAACAAACACCCAGAAAGAAAAGAAAAGCCAAAGAAGAGCAACAGAAGGAGGGGUAAAUGUACAGUUUGUCCAGAGACGGGAUGAGAACGUAAAGCAGCCACGGUUCUGACUCUUCACUCCUACGGAAACAGAGCCUACGACUUCAACUACAAACUCCUACUGGUAGGUUCAGGGUCAGACUUCCUUCACGGUGCUUGAAUAUAUAGAGUUUUUCAUCUUCUUUUUUUAUUUUAAAAACCUACACUUGCAUGUACAUAAAACUGUACAAAAAACAAGGCAUCACUAGCAGUUUCCUAUAUAAAUAUAACCGACCAACAAUUAGGCUACGAACGUGGAACUUCCUGUAAAGACAAAAGUGACUCGGCGGCUCGGACCUUUUCUUCUUCUAAGUUCAAAAUAAAAAGCAAGAAAAAACCAACCUGAACUCCAUCUUUACACAUACAGAAACUCAAAAUACACAGAUAUAUUUCCUUCAAGAUCACAGAAAAGUAGAUCUAUUAAACCACACGCCAAUUAGAGGAGAAAAUAUCUGUGUUUUUACACCAAAGAGGAGGAAGAAGAAGAAGGAGGAGGAGGAGAAGAUGAAGAAGUAGAACAGAAAGGAGAAGAAGCAGAACAUGGAGAAGAUGGAGAUGAAGGGAAAGAGGACGAAUAAGAAGAAAAAGGAGGAGGAUGAAGAAGAAGGAGAUAAAGAAGGAGAAGAAGAUGAAGAAGGAGAAGAUGAUGAUGGAGAUGAAGAAGAGGAGAAUGAAGAAGAAGAAGGAGAAGAAAAAUAUGCAAAUAAAUUCAUUGAUUUCAUCCUUUCAACGCACGGUUUCCUGAUUUACUGAAAUAUUCUGAUACUUCAAUUGAUUUUAAACUUUACAAAGCUCUUAAAGUUUGUUAAAUUUCAUCUCACAACAUAAAAACACACAGCAGCACUUCAGGAGCUUCAUAAAAUCACUUUUUAUCAAAUAAACACAGUAAAUAUGUCGUUGUCUGAAGAUUUUUAACCAUUUGCUCGUACGUUUUUGCUAAAUGAACUUUAAAAAAAUCACAUUUUUGUUCAUGUUUUAACCAUUUCGUCGCAAUUUCUGAUUCAAAUUCAACCACCAGCUCUGAGAUUUUAGCUUUAUCGUGUUAUUCUGAGGCUAAAUGAACUCUUAUCUCCUCUGAGAAUCCUGUCUGAUAGAGCAAAGAAACAGAAAACACCAACACUACCGCCACCGCCGCCCGGUAAAAAACAGCAACGACCAUUAAUAUUCAUACAGAAUGUCUAUAGCAGUGUUGAUUCCAUAACAUUGAUCAAAAAACAGUGACAACGAAAAUGUAGAAUAUUUAUAAAGUUGUUUCAUGCUCCGGCCUCGGUAUAAUACACAACCAAAAAAACAGCAAAAACCCUCCGCUAACCUGCCAAACCGGACGUUCUCGUGCAAAACGCUCAAUUUUAAACCCCAGAAAUGUGAGAAAUGCUCCCUAAACGUUCCCUAAAUGUUCCCUAAACAUCGACUCUCCAUCAUCAGCAGCUUCAUGUUUUAUUAAAGAUGCACUUUAACCCAUUUUCACUCAAUUAAAUAUACGGAAGGAAGGCAGCCGGUGGAGCAGCUGGAGAACGACUCCUCGGGCUCAGGAGGCGCUUUAGAAAGGCUGGCCAGGUGCAUUAUGGGAAAUGUAGGAUGCAGCAGCAGCUUUGCAGGAAUUAAACGCAAAAAUAAAAUAAAUAAAUCUGACCAGGUGCAUUAUGGGAAAUGUAGGAGGCAGGUCAAAUCAGGAUACUUAACGUGGAGGUUGUAUUUAAGAGGCAAAAUGUUCAACUUUGUCAACUGUUUUUGCAGCAGCUUUUCAGGAAUUUCAAUCAAAAACAAAUCAUAAAUCUGACCAGGUGCAUUGUGGGAAAUGUAGGAUCAAGAUCUACUCGUUAAAGUCAUGUUGAGUUUUUAGCUGCAUUUUUUGUAUUUAAGAGACCAAAUAUGUAACUUCUUCAACUUUUUUGCAGCAGUCUUGCUGAAGUCUGACCAGGAGCUUUCUGGGAAAUGUAGGAUGCAGAUCUACUAGCUAAAAGUCAUGGAACUUUUUAGCAGCUUUUUUUGUAUUUAAGAGCCAAAAUGUUGUACUUCAUCCACUUUUUUUGCAGCAGCAGCUAUCCAGGAAUUUAACUUAAAAAUAAAAUAAAUAAGUCUGACCGUGUAGGAUGGAGGACUAGUUGGUAAAAGUCAAGAUACUUAAUGUGGAGUUUUUAGCUGCAUUGUUUUUCAAUUUUACAGUCAAAAUGUUUGACUUUUCCCACUUUUUCAGCAGCAGCUCUCUGAUCAGGUGCAUUAUGGGAAACACAGGAUGCACAUCUUCUCACUAAAAGAUUUAAGAGCCAAAAUAUUCAACUUUUUCCACUUUUUUCCAGCAAUUUUCCAGGAAUUUAACUAAAAAAAGAAAUCUCACCAGGUGCAUUAUGGGAAAUGUAGGAUGCAGGUUAUAAUCAGGAUACUUUAUGUGGCGUUUUUAUUGUAUUUAAGAGCCAAAAUAUUUGACUUUUUCCUUUUUUUUUGGAGCAGUUUUCCAGGAAUUUAGCUCAAAAAUAAAAUAAGUCUGACCAGGUGCAUUAUGGGAAAUGUAGGAUGCAGAUCUAGCUGUUUAAAGAUUUAAGAACCAAAAUAUUCAACAUUUUUCACUUUUUUUGCUGCAGCUUUCCAAGAAUUUAACUCAAAAAUGGAAGUCUGACCAGGUGCAUUUUGGGAAAUGUAGGAUGCAGAUCUAUUGUAUAAAAGUCUUUGAGAUUUUAGCUGCUUUUUUUGUAUUUAAGAGGCCAAAUGUUCAACUUUUUCCACUUUUUUGCAGCAGUUUUCCAGGAAUUAGUUCCUCCGAGUCACUUGAACUAAAGCUGUGUUUUAUUUCUCCUUUUUCUUCCUGCAGAUAACAAAAUCCCCGAACGUUAAAAAAACAAAAACAACAGCGACUGCACGAGAAGCAGGAACCGGUUCCAGACUAGGAAGAAGGAGAGAAAAGAUGAAUCCAGUGAGUCGUAACGUUACCGACAGACUCUGGACAUCACUGACAGAGUCGCACAGAGGAGGACAAACGCCGAUUUAAAGACAAACCGAC